rnacentral:rRNA from 1 species
CACGUAGGGUGCGAGCGUUGUCCGGAAUUAUUGGGCGUAAAGAGCUCGUAGGCGGUGUGUCGCGUCGGCCGUGAAAACCUGCAGCUUAACUGUGGGCUUGCGGUCGAUACGGGCAUCACUGGAGUUCGGCAGGGGAGACUGGAAUUCCUGGUGUAGCGGUGAAAUGCGCAGAUAUCAGGAGGAACACCGGUGGGCCGAAGGCGGGUCUCUGGGCCGUAACUGACGCUGGAGGAG